GGACAGCACAAGAGGCUCUCUCCCUCUUCUUCUUUUCUUCCAUUAACAAGUGAGAGAAAGUUUUGUUUCUCCUUGAAUCAAAACACUAGGAAUUGUUUCUAGUGCAUUAUACAUCCAUAGAACCUCACCUAAAGCAAAAGCCCAAAAGAAUCAAGUGGUUAGCAAGCAAAUUAAAAGGAGGUUUGGGGUUGCCAAAGGUGCCUUGGUGGUGCUUGUGGUGGACAAUCUAGAGGGGCUACAUUUGGAGCUCUUGGAGACUAUCAAAGGGAACAAGAAGGAUUGAUUCAACGCCUUUGAGGAUUGGACUUGAGAGAUUCCUGAAGCUAAGGAUCCAAAGCUAGCUUCCGUUCGAAUAAGGUGUUUGAUAGGCUAUAAGAGAUGCAGGGAUGCAGGAAUAGAGGAACCCCUUUGAGAGUGAGCAGCAAGAGUAGCUGUACAAUUUUUUUAUGUAUGUUGUAUGUUUAGAUAGACAUGUAAACUGUAAAUGGAUAGUUACUAUGUUCGUAUUCAGGAUUUUUGAUAAAUGUUUUACUUUAAACAUGGGUGAUGUAAUGAUGG
rnacentral:misc_RNA from 1 species